AUUGAACGCUGGCGGCAUGCCUUACACAUGCAAGUCGAACGGUAACGCGGGGCAACCUGGCGACGAGUGGCGAACGGGUGAGUAAAGCAUCGGAACGUGCCCAGUAGUGGGGGAUAGCCCGGCGAAAGCCGGAUUAAUACCGCAUACGACCUAAGGGUGAAAGGGGGGAUCGCAAGACCUCUCGCUAUUGGAGCGGCCGAUGUCAGAUUAGGUAGUUGGUGGGGUAAAGGCCUACCAAGCCGACGAUCUGUAGCUGGUCUGAGAGGACGACCAGCCACACUGGGACUGAGACACGGCCCAGACUCCUACGGGAGGCAGCAGUGGGGAAUUUUGGACAAUGGGCGCAAGCCUGAUCCAGCCAUGCCGCGUGCGGGAAGAAGGCCUUCGGGUUGUAAACCGCUUUUGUCAGGGAAGAAAUCCUUUGGGUUAAUACCUCGGGGGGAUGACGGUACCUGAAGAAUAAGCACCGGCUAACUACGUGCCAGCCGCCGCCGUAA
rnacentral:rRNA from 1 species